CUUGGGGGACGAGGGGGAUGUGGACCAGGGCAUGCAACAGGAGACUGAGUAGUGCCUCCAACACUCUCCUUAAUGGCCAGAUCUCUCUCAGCGCUGGAUUUCUCCCUUCUCUUCCGUUUUUGGUAUUUUUCCUAGGCAUGUGCGUCAUGGGCUGUCGCAGAGCAGAAAGGCCUCAGGCCAGGAAGCCACAGAGGGCAGCCAGAACCAGGAUGAACCCCACCACCACCGGGACUCCGAAGGUCUUCCCUGCCCCCAUCCCAGCUUGUCUGCCUCCUCCUGGGCCAAGAAGAUAUGUUUGAAUUUACAUGAUAAUGCUUACUCAAGGAGAAAACCAGUGCUGACCACCCCAGCAGCACUCACACACGUGUCUUCUCAUGAGCACGGCCCAGGUUCUGGGCAUCAGCUAUCCAGCUUUUCCUCUCCCCCAUCUUUGCCUCCCCUUCCCUUCAUAACUGUGAUCCUUUUUGGAAUAGCAAAAGUUAAAGCUUGGUGAGUAGUUCGAGCUGUUUGCAUCUCAGAGCUGAAUACGCUUGAUAAUCGCACAAAUGCAUAAUUAAAGAGCAGAAAAAAUGACUCACUGGAUAAGGAAAUGCGCUUUUCUUAUCUCCUCUGCAGAGAAAUGAAAACCCCAGGAGCCUGGGUCUCCGGCUAAGUCCUUUUAUUAAACAAAUAAACCAGAAAAGGUAUCAAAUGA